rnacentral:rRNA from 1 species
CGUGGGUAACCUGCCCAAGAGACUGGGAUAACACCUGGAAACAGAUGCUAAUACCGGAUAACAACACUAGACGCAUGUCUAGAGUUUAAAAGAUGGUUCUGCUAUCACUCUUGGAUGGACCUGCGGUGCAUUAGCUAGUUGGUAAGGUAACGGCUUACCAGGGCAAUGAUGCAUAGCCGAGUUGAGAGACUGAUCGGCCACAUUGGGACUGAGACACGGCCCAAACUCCUACGGGAGGCAGCAG